AUACGGAGGGUGCAAGCGUUAUUCGGAAUCACUGGGCGUAAAGGACGCGUAGGCGGGUUGGCAAGUCAGAUGAGAAAUCCUACAGCUUAACUGUAGAACUGCAUUUGAAACUGCUAACCUAGAGUAUGGGAGGGGGAGAUGGAAUUAGUGGUGUAGGGGUAAAAUCCGUAGAUAUCACUAGGAAUACCGAAAGCGAAGGCGAUCUCCUGGAACAUAACUGACGCUAAGGCGUGAAAGCGUGGGGAGCAAACAGGAUUAGAUACCCUAGUAGUCC
rnacentral:rRNA from 1 species